UAUCUGGACACAUAAUUCUCUAGAAUACCAUAGGGUGCACCCGGAAAUCUUCUAGGGCACAUACUUUGAGAACCACUGGUCUAAUGGGACAUAUGUUAAUGAUUGAAAACGUUGAAAGUAUUAUAAGGAUCACACAAUAAAUAUAGGACAAGAAAAUGAUAUAAUUAUCAAAACAAAUGAAAUUUAGAAUACAACACAUGAAUAAGUGGCACAGAGAUUUGGGAAUGGAGAAAUAAUUCAAAAAUAUAUAUAUAAUAGAUAAAAUAUAUUUAUUUAAACAAAACACAAAACAAUGUAAAUCUAAAUUGAUAUAGAUUAAUGUCCUAUUAAUUAAAUGCUAAAUCUACUUAGAAUACAUUGAUAAUUAGAUUUUUAGAAUGAGAUCAGUAAUAUUAUACACGUUGACUAUGUAGGAGAUUUAUUCUUUUGAGCCAUGAGUAUAUAUCUGAGAGAGAGAAUUAUCUCAUUUUUAACUUUCUAUAUUUUUUGUUUUCCAAAUAUUUUUUUAUAUACAGCACCAGUAUAGACCCAUUGUCUGCUCAGUGGAAUGAGAUACAGUAUCUUUAACUUGCUACAUUGUCUCCAAUCACUUCAUUGUCCCUUGGCCACUCAAACACUAUGCUCACCUGGUACAGAUGUGAGCAUCUCCUUGGGUAAAUGUCUUCAUGGACAGCCAUCCUCCUCAGCAAGUGUUUCGCUCAACAAGGGACUAGUCCUGUUUAUCUUGUCAACAAAAAGAAAGUUUAAUGAUCUCUCUCUCUCCAUACUCAGAUAAGGAAAUGUAUUAUUUUAAGUUUUCUUCUUCCCUCUCCAAAUAUGACAAAUUUUAGUGAAUAAUGCAAAGGAAGUUAGAAUAAGAAUGGCAUCUCAUUCUAAUGUCAAUGGAGUAGAUUAUUACAAAAUUUACAAAUUAUAAAAUGCAAAUAUAUUUUUCUUAAACUAGAUAACAUAAUUUUAAAUUUGGUAGUUUCCAAUGACUUCCUGGGG
rnacentral:lncRNA from 1 species